rnacentral:miRNA from 1 species
AUUCCUUUUCAAAUUUCCAUC